rnacentral:rRNA from 1 species
GACGAACGCUGGCGGCGUGCCUAAUACAUGCAAGUAGAACGCUGAAGCUUGGUGCUUGCACCGAGCGGAUGAGUUGCGAACGGGUGAGUAACGCGUAGGUAACCUGCCUGGUAGCGGGGGAUAACUAUUGGAAACGAUAGCUAAUACCGCAUAAGAGUAGAUGUUGCAUGACAUUUGCUUAAAAGGUGCAAUUGCAUCACUACCAGAUGGACCCGCGUUGUAUUAGCUAGUUGGUGAGGUAACGGCUCACCAAGGCAACGAUACAUAGCCGACCUGAGAGGGUGAUCGGCCACACUGGGACUGAGACACGGCCCAGACUCCUACGGGAGGCAGCAGUAGGGAAGCUUCGGCAAUGGACGGAAGUCUGACCGAGCAACGCCGCGUGAGUGAAGAAGGGUUUCGGAUCGUAAAGCUCUGUUGUAAGAGAAGAACGAGUGUGAGAGUGGAAAGUUCACACUGUGACGGUAUCUUACCAGAAAGGGACGGCUAACUACGUG